UGUAAGCGUAUACCAAAGUUGUUGCAGUUAAAACGCUCGUAGUCGGAAUUUGGCAGUUCCGGAUGUGUGCACGUCGUGUGCGCACUUCGCGGGGAUUGCUUUUGUGGUCUUGCGUAGGAUGAGGCACUUUUAUUAGUGAACGUCCUCACGCAACCACUUUUUACUGUGAGAAAAUCAGAGUGCUCAAAGCAGGCAUUUGCCGUGAAUGUGUUAGCAUGGAAUAAUAGAAUAGGACUUGGCUCUAUUUUGUUGGUUUGUUGGGACUGAGUAAUGAUUAAGAGGGACAGUUGGGGGCAUUUGUAUUUCGGUGCUAGAGGUGAAAUUCUUAGAUUACCGAAAGACAAACUGCUGCGAAAGCGUCUGCCAAGGAUGUUUUCAUUGA
rnacentral:rRNA from 1 species